rnacentral:tRNA from 1 species
CACUAAGAAGCUAAUUAGCGUUAACCUUUUAAGUUAAAGAUUAGAAGUUUAGACCUUCUCUCAGUGA